UGAGGAAUCUUGCGCAAUGGGGGAAACCCUGACGCAGCCACGCCGCGUGAAGGAAGACGGUCCUAUGGAUUGUAAACUUCUUUUCUAUCUGAAGAAGGCACGGGUUUCGACCUGUGUUGACGGUAGGGUAGGAAUAAGCACCGGCUAACUCCGUGCCAGCAGCCGCGGUAAUACGGAGGGUGCGAGCGUUGUCCGGAAUCAUUGGGUGUAAAGGGUGCGCAGGCGGGCUGUUAAGUCUGGGGUGAAAUCUUACCGCUCAACGGUAAACGUGCCUUGGAUACUGACAGUCUUGAGUAUGAUAGAGGUCGGUGGAAUUCGUAGUGUAGCGGUGAAAUGCAUAGAUAUUACGAAGAACACCAGUGGUGAAAACGGCCGGCUGGAUCAUAACUGACGCUCAGGCACGAGAGCGUGGGGAGCGAACA
rnacentral:rRNA from 1 species